rnacentral:lncRNA from 1 species
UAUAAUUCUGCUAUCGCUACACGUCCUAACAGCACCCUGUGCAAACCUCCACCGUCGAUACCAAACCCUUCAGCCUCAGAGCUCUCCUGAAGGCCUCUAAGAGGACCACCUCUACCUGGACAGAAGAUCCUCGCUUGUAUCCGGACACCCUCCUGUGUUCUGUCAACGUCUUUCUCUUCUGCACCUACACCAACUGUCGCUUUAGCUUCUCCUGGAGGGACUGCAGCUCAAAUCCUGUCUGGACUCAGACCCACCUAUCUCACUCAAGGCUCACCUCAGACUCCUUAUAGGUAUCUGAGUCUUCUCUU